rnacentral:lncRNA from 1 species
UGGUAAAGUUUAAGAUAAAGUUUCUUUUCUAAUUAUUAUUAUUUUCCCAUUACUAUUAUUUUAAUGCAUGUUGUACAUGAGAUAUUGGUGUAUGCUAAAACAAAUACUUGCUCUAUCCUAUGUAGCCGUUAACCCUCCAUAUCCCUAAUUUUUGUAGGGUUAGUUUACUAUGAUCAAUAUCUCGUAUAAAAAGGCACCAUUAUCCUUACAAUACUUGAUAUAUUAGAGGGAUAAACAUUUGUUUUUUAUUUUAAAAUCAACAAAUAAAAAAGGCAUCAUCAUCCCUACAAUAAAUAUAAAGGGAUAAACAUGAGUAGUUAAUUUAGGGUUAGUUUAAGAUGAUCAAUACCUCGAAUAAAAAGGCAAAAUGUCGUUUUGAUUUUGUUUGAGUUUGAUGAUUGGUUUGAUAAAAUGCAAUUUAGGUUCACAACCUUUGUUUUUUUAUUAAAUAAGUACUUGCUUAUUGGGAUUUG